rnacentral:rRNA from 1 species
GGCGUAAAGGGCUCGCAGGCGGUUUCUUAAGUCUGAUGUGAAAGCCCCCGGCUCAACCGGGGAGGGUCAUUGGAAACUGGGGAACUUGAGUGCCGAAGAGGAGAGUGGAAUUCCACGUGUAGCGGUGAAAUGCGUAGAGAUGUGGAGGAACACCAGUGGCGAAGGCCACUCUCUGCUCUGUCACUGACGCUGAGGAGCGAAGGCGGGGGGA